rnacentral:rRNA from 1 species
UUGUUCGGAAUUACUGGGCGUAAAGCGCGCGUAGGCGGUUACUCAAGUCAGAGGUGAAAGCCCGGGGCUCAACCCCGGAACUGCCUUUGAAACUAGGUGACUAGAAUCUUGGAGAGGUCAGUGGAAUUCCGAGUGUAGAGGUGAAAUUCGUAGAUAUUCGGAAGAACACCAGUGGCGAAGGCGACUGACUGGACAAGUAUUGACGCUGAGGUGCGAAAGCGUGGGGAGCAAACAGGAUUAAAUACCCUGGUAGUCCACGCCGUAAACGAUGAUAACUAGCUGUCCGGGCACUUGGUGCUUGGGUGGCGCAGCUAACGCAUUAAGUUAUCCGCCUGGGGAGUACGGUCGCAAGAUUAAAACUCAAAGGAAUUGACG